rnacentral:rRNA from 1 species
AACGAACGCUGGCGGCAGGCCUAACACAUGCAAGUCGAGCGCCCUUUCGGGGGAGCGGCGGACGGGUGAGUAACGCGUGGGAAUAUGCCCUUCUCUACGGAAUAGCCUCGGGAAACUGAGAGUAAUACCGUAUACGCCCUGUGGGGGAAAGAUUUAUCGGGGAAGGAUUAGCCCGCGUUGGAUUAGGUAGUUGGUGGGGUAAUGGCCUACCAAGCCGACGAUCCAUAGCUGGUUUGAGAGGAUGAUCAGCCACACUGGGACUGAGACACGGCCCAGACUUCUACGGGAGGCAGCAGUGGGGAAUCUUAGACAAUGGGGGCAACCCUGAUCUAGCCAUGCCGCGUGAGUGAUGAAGGCCUUAGGGUUGUAAAGCUCUUUCAGCUGGGAAGAUAAUGACGGUACCAGCAGAAGAAGCCCCGGCUAACUCCGUG